CGAAUAAGCUCAGUUAUCCCGCGUUUAUCCGUGCUAACUAGAGCGCUCGCAGCGCGUGGCGAUUUCCGAGUUACCCGGUAGACGAGACCCGAGGAUCGCGAUCCAGUAGGAAUCGCGGCCCGGAAGUCCCUUCUGUGUCCACGAAUCGAAGGUCAAGGCUACCGGAGGUAUGGGUAAAGACUGUGGAAUAUGUGGGAUUUAUCCGAGGUGGCUGCGAAAUCGAGCCACCCCGAGAACUUUCAUCGUGGUGUACGGUUUGCUGGGCACCGUCCAGGCGAUGGCCUUCAUCUACAUUGUCGUCACCCUGACGACUUUGGAGAAGAGAUUCAAGAUACCCAGUCGUACGACUGGGUUGAUCCUUUCGGGUAACGAGAUCUCUGAGAUCUUGUCCCUGGUUUUAACCUAUUACGGUGGGUCCAGCCAUCGGCCAAGAUGGAUCGCAGUUGGAGUCGGCUUGAGCUCAUUGUCCUGUCUCGUUUUGGCACUGCCGCACUUCAUAUACGGUCCUGGAAAGGACGCCUUGGCAUUGACGAAGGAAUAUCUAGACCAGACCUUGUUGAACAUGACAACUCUCCCGAAUGACCUCGCGAUCUGCCCGCGUAUGGAUCAGCCGGAACUCUGCGACGCCGAAACCAAGUUGAGCUUUAGUUAUCUCCCUCGACUAUUAGUUUUUUUAUCUCAAUUUAUCCUUGGUAUCGGAACUACUCUUUAUUACUGUUUGGGACAGACGUAUUUAGACGACAACACGAAGAAGAAAAAUACACCUAUGCUAUUAGGUUUUACGUUCGCUUUACGUACCGUGGGUCCGACGAUCGGAUUUCUAUUGGGCUAUGGUUGUCUGAGUUUAUACAUAGACCCAAACCUUCAUCCUGUUAUUUCGAAGAAAGACCCGCGAUGGUUAGGCGCAUGGUGGCUCGGAUGGAUCAUUCUUGGCUUUAUAAUGGGUGUGUUCGCUAUUUUGAUUGCUUUGUUUCCACGUGAGCUUCCAAAAUCGAAAGAUACUUCUAAACAGACUCCUAAACAGGAUGGCGAAAUACCUUUGAAGUUAGAUUUAGUGCUGCAGCAGAAGCCUCCGAUACAGAUGGACCGUACCAGCAGUGCCAACCCAAUACCCUUGGAAACUGAGUACAUACCGACAAUCCGUGAAUUUCCGAAAGCCAUGAAACGGCUGUUAACGAACUGGCUGUUGACCUGCAACAAUUUAAGCGGCGUAUUUUACGUGCUCGGCGCUUCUGCCUAUAUCACAUUCAUAGCGAAGUAUCUUGAAGUUCAAUAUGGUACGUCCGCGGCUGGCGGUACUGUAAUAGCAGGUCCCAUAUCGCUGUUUGGUAUGAUAUUAGGAUUUCUGCUAUCGGGAUUAAUAAUUACCAAAUUUAAACCGGGCCCCAGGCCGCUUCUCGCGUGGAAUGUACUCGUUGGUAUUUGCUUCGUCUUGGGACAAAUAGUGUUUAUAUUUCUUGGUUGCACGGGUUCUGGGAUACGCGGUAUAGACUUGGAGACUUUGCAAAUGAAUUUGACAGCUGGUUGCAAUGCCGAUUGCAACUGCGUAGGUGUCAAAUAUUCACCGGUCUGCCACGAGGCGUCGAAGACGACUUUCUUCUCUGCCUGUCACGCGGGAUGCCGAACGAUGCUGGACGACAAACAGUUUGGAAACUGCAGUUGUCUACCGUUGAACGAAUCGAGCUAUGUCGGAGACUACUCCGAUUACUUUGGCGGCUCCGGCAGAGCCGUCACUUUGGAACAGCAGAUGUUCGACUCGCAAGCACUCCCGCCGCUCUUCGACAAAGUUAAAGCCGGCCCGUGCACCACCGAUUGCAACCGGCCGUAUUUGCUCUUCAUGGUGAUCACUUGCGUGAUCCAACUGUUGGGCUGUUCCGGGAGAAUCGGUAAUGUUCUAGUGAACUACAGAUGCGUCGACAAGAAGGACAAGAGCUUCGCUCAGGGUAUCACGCUUAUGAUCAUCUCGCUACUGGCUCUAAUUCCGGGACCGAUUAUCUACGGAGCUAUCAUCGAUUCGACUUGUUUGAUAUGGGAGGAAUCCUGCGGAACUAGAGGAAACUGCUGGUUUUAUCACCGAGACAACUUCCGAUACUUGGUGAACAUUUCAGCGGCCGGAUUUACCAUAAUAGGGGUACUAUUUGAUGCUAUGGUUUGUUAUCUCGGCAAAAAUUUGGAUCUAUACGGCGACAUGGAGAGCGACAAGAGGCGCGAGUUCGUGAAAGAAGACGUUGCGAUGGAUAAUGUAGACAGGAAGAAGGAAGUUAAUGGGACUUUAAAUCAGAGGACAGAGCAGAGUCGUCUAUAACGCUCGCUGUCGCCCGAUAGUGGACAAAUCCGAUGAGAUUUGUGAAAUUGCUCUAGGUACCUGAAAAAUUUCGGGGCUUUUGUGACUGACGCCGAACAUUCCGAUGAUUAAUACUUGGAACGGAAAGCUGCGAGCUAUUCGUUGUUACAAUUUUGUUGUUAAAUCUUUAUUUUUCGAAUCAUACUCAUUUCUAUUUCUUUGUAAAUAAAUCACGUUUAUUUUUUAUUAACAUGUUAUUACUCACACGCUUUAUUGCGCUCUUUUCUGCACUUUU
rnacentral:misc_RNA from 1 species